ACCAGACUCCUACGGGAGGCAGCAGUGAGGAAUAUUGGUCAAUGGGCGCGAGCCUGAACCAGCCAAGUCGCGUGAGGGAUGACGGCCCUACGGGUUGUAAACCUCUUUUGCCGGGGAGCAACGGGCGCCACGUGUGGCGCCACUGAGAGUACCCGGAGAAAAAGCAUCGGCUAACUCCGUGCCAGCAGCCGCGGUAAUACGGAGGAUGCGAGCGUUAUCCGGAUUUAUUGGGUUUAAAGGGUGCGUAGGCGGAUCGUUAGUUCAGGGUUAAAGUGGGGGGGCUCAACCCCUUCCCGCCAUUGAAACUGGCGCUCUUGAGUGGAAGAGAAGUAUGCGGAAUGCGUGGUGUAGCGGUGAAAUGCAUAGAUAUCACGCAGAACUCCGAUUGCGAAGGCAGCGCACCGGCGCCCUACUGACGCUCAGGCACGAAAGCGUGGGUAUCGAACAGGAUUAGAUACCCGAGUA
rnacentral:rRNA from 1 species